rnacentral:rRNA from 1 species
AAACUGCGAAUGGCUCAUUAAAUCAGUUAUCGUUUAUUUGAUAGUACCUUACUACUUGGAUAACCGUGGUAAUUCUAGAGCUAAUACAUGCUGAAAACCCCGACUUCGGAAGGGGUGUAUUUAUUAGAUAAAAAACCAAUGCCCUUCGGGGCUCCUUGGUGAUUCAUGAUAACUUCUCAGAUCGCAUGGCCUUGCGCCGGCGACGGUUCAUUCAAAUUUCUGCCCUAUCAACUUUCGAUGGUAAGGUAUUGGCUUACCAUGGUUUCAACGGGUAACGGGGAAUAAGGGUUCGACUCCGGAGAGGGGGCCUAAGAAAUAGCCACCACAUCCAAGGAAGGCAGCAGGCGCGCAAAUUACCCAAUCCCGACACGGGGAGGUAGUGACACUAAAUACUGAUACAGGGCUCUUUUGGGUCUUGUAAUUGGAAUGAGUACAAUUUAAACCUCUUAACGAGGAACAAUUGGAGGGCAAGUCUGGUGCCAGCAGCCGCGGUAAUUCCAGCUCCAAUAGCGUAUAUUAAAGUUGUUGCAGUUAAAAAGCUCGUAGUUGAACCUUGGGCCUGGCUGGCGGGUCCGCCUCACCGCGUGUACUCGUCCGGCCGGGCCUUUCCUUCUGGAGAACCUCAUGCCCUUCACUGGGUGUGCUGGGGAACCAGGACUUUUACUGUGAAAAAAUUAGAGUGUUCAAAGCAGGCCUUUGCUCGAAUACGUUAGCAUGGAAUAAUAGAAUAGGACGUGCGAUCCUAUUUUGUUGGUUUCUAGGACCGCCGUAAUGAUUAAUAGGGACAGUCGGGGGCAUCAGUAUUCAGUUGUCAGAGGUGAAAUUCUUGGAUUUAUUGAAGACUAACUACUGCGAAAGCAUUUGCCAAGGAUGUUUUCAUUAAUCAGUGAACGAAAGUUAGGGGAUCGAAGACGAUCAGAUACCGUCGUAGUCUUAACCGUAAACUAUGCCGACUAGGGAUCGGGCGGUGUUUCUAUAUUGACCCGCUCGGCACCUUACGAGAAAUCAAAGUUUUUGGGUUCUGGGGGGAG